UGCAUUUAAAAAGCUCGUAGUUGGAUSUAGGAGUUCCUGACGUCGGUUCUUUCAGGAGAUACUGACGCUUGGACUUCUACAUUUUGCGGUUCGGGUCGAUGUGCCCUUGAUUGGGUGCUCGUUCUGGCCGCAGCGUUUACCUUGAAAAAAUUAGAGUGCUCAAAGCAGGCGACAGCCUGGAUAGUCUAGCAUGGAAUAAUGGAACAGGACCUCGGUCCAGUUUUGUUGGUUUCGAGGACAGAGGUAAUGAUUAAGAGGGACAGGCGGGGGCAUCCGUACUGUGGCGUUAGAGGUGAAAUUCUUGGAUCGCCGCAUGACGAACUAGUGCGAAAGCAUUUGCCAAGGAUGUUUCCAUUAAUCAAGAACGAAAGUUAGAGGAUCGAAGGCGAUCAGAUACCGCCGUAGUUCUAACCAUAAACGAUGCCGACCGGCAAUCUGCAAAAGAGAUUUAUCAUUGCAGGCAGCCCCGGGGAAACCAGAGUUUUCAGGUUAUGGGGGAAGUAUGGUUGCAAAGCUGAAACUUAAAGGAAUUGACGGAAGGGCACCACCAGGAGUGGAGCCUGCGGCUUAAUUUGACUCAACACGGGAAAACUCACCCGGCCCGGACACAGUGAGGAUUGACAGAUUGAAAGCUCUUUCUUGAUUCUGUGGGUGGUGGUGCAUGGCCGUUCUUAGUUGGUGGAGUGAUUUGUCUGGUUAAUUCCGAUAACGAACGAGACUCCAACCUGCUAAAUAGACGUCGGUGCCUAACGGCUCACGACGGCUUCUUAGAGGGACAAUCGGCGCUUAGCCGGAUGAGAUGGAGCAAUAACAGGUCUGUGAUGCCCUUAGAUGUUCGGGGCCGCACGCGCGCUACACUGAAAGAGUCAACGUGUGCCUACCCUACUCCGAAAGGAGCGGGUAACCCUCUUAGCCCCUUUCGUGCUGGGGAUAGGGGAUUGCAAUUAUUUCCCUUGAACGAGGAAUUCCUAGUAAGUGCAAGUCAUAAGCUUGCACUGAUUACGUCCCUGCCCUUUGUACACACCGCCCGUCGCUACUACCGAUUGAAUGGUUUAGUGAGACCUUCGGAUUCGAGGCAGUCGGUCGCUUCGGCGGCCCAGCAUUCGGAAAAGCCGGUCGAACUUGAUCAUUUAGAGGAAGUAA
rnacentral:rRNA from 1 species